rnacentral:lncRNA from 1 species
ACAGUUCAGUGAGCAAGCCAGCCGGGCCGGGCCAGGGCAGUCUGCAUUUUCUUAUUCAUUUUGUUUGCUUGCUUUUGUUUGGUUUGGUUUUGCUUGUUGGUUUUUGGUUUUGUUUUGUUUGGGAGACAAUAUUUCUUAGCCUCCAACUCUUUACGUAGUCUAGGAUGACACUGAAUCCCAACCCUCCUGCCUCCCUUACCACAAAGGACCUUUUUUUUUUUUUGAUUCUUUGGGCUUCUCUUUUCCCCUCCCACACGUCUCUGUUGAGCCUCAGGAAACUACUUUAAAGCAGCUAGUUGACCAAGCUGGGCAAAGAAAUAGGACUGAGUCAGGUUACUCGCUUUCUGCAAUGGUGACCCCCACAACCACAGCACCGGCUCCUCGCUGGUCUAAGACUUGGUACCAGUGUUAAGUGCUCCUAGAAUCCAGCAGAGGCGUCCACUAGAUGCACGGAAGUCUAACUCUCUCCCUGCAUCUUGCCCAGACCCUCUGUCCUCCAAGUUACCCAGGGACAGAGAUUUGUUUCUAAGCCUCCCUACCCCUGCAGGUUACCAUGACAACUGCCAGCCACCGUGGGCUCCCACUUUAUCUAAACUCCUCCCCACUCAGAGAGACCUUGGGGAUGCAAAGCCACUCUAGCCAGCUGGGGAAGCCAUCAAGGGCAUCCCUCAGACCACGAGGGUCACCGUCACCCUGUGUGGGAGACAGACACAGGCCAGAAGGCAUGGCGGCUCCCCAUGGUGGCACAUGUCAGCCCAACACUGAGAGGUUGGAGGUGGAAGAACAGGAAUGUAAAGUCAGUCCAGGGCUAGCCUUGGCUACCUGAGCCCUGUCUCAUGAAACAUGCUCCCAAAAAGAGGUGGGUGACAUGUUUCACCUAGGGCUGAGGACCCCUCUUGGGCCAAUAGUCCCAUUGCUCUGGGAGCUGUGAUUUUUGUUAAUUGCCUUUUGAGACAGGGUCUCGCUAUAUAGACCAGAUUGGCCCAGGACUCAGAGAUCCACCCACCUCUGGAGAACUAGGAUUAAAGGUUGCACCACCACAUGUGGCCAUGUCUAAAUUAAAACAUUUUUUAAAGCCAGGUGGUGGUGGUGCGUGUCUUUAAUCACGGCACACAGGAGGAUCUCUGAAUCUGAGGACAGCAUGGUCUACAGAGUGAGUUAGAAAGACAGAGCUAAACAGAAAGACACUGUCUUGAAAAACCAAAUAAAAAAUUUUUUUUUUUUAAAAACUUUGUGUGUGUGUGUAUCUACACAAGUGCUGUAGUAUGCAUUUGGUGGUUAGCGUCAACUCUGGGGAGUCUGUUCUCUCCUUCUACUGUGUGGGUUUUGGGGAUUCAAUACAGAGUGUAACUCUUGGCUAAAAUCACUUUUACUUGCUGAGCCAUUUUGCCAGUCCAAUAGCCUCUAACGUUGCUGCUGCUAUCUAUUGGUAACACAAUUGCUGUCCCCAAGGGCCCCCACCUCUAUGCAUGAACCCUGUACUGUGGACCCAAUUAACACCCACAAUCCUGAGGAUGUAGUUAUACCCCUGACCCAGUCACACCCAGCUUUCCUCUGUGUGCCCACCAAAUGUCUGAGAGAUUGGCUGGCCACAGUACAUGUGCCCUCGAUCCCCUCUGAUGACUUCAGCCCGCUAUGGUGAUUCGUGGCCUUUCUUUCUCCACAGAACGAUCUUCCCACAGGCACUCCUGCCUCCAGGUCAUGUGGUACCUCUCCACCCCAGGACUCGUCCACCCCGGGGCCCAGCUCAGCCAGUCACCUCUGCCAGCUGGCGGCUCAGCCGGCAGCACCCACAGACAGCAUCGGUGAGUCCCCACCUGCCCAGCAUAGCUCCCCCAAACAGAAAUGAUGAGAGUUGGCACACGACUUUAAUCCUGGGUGGGUUAGAGGCCACCCUGGGCUACAUAGUGAAACCAUGUCUG